rnacentral:lncRNA from 1 species
CGCCGACAGACCGCCGAACGGACAAGGUUUUCCCUGUACCGCGGACAGAGUCUCCCCCGUACAUUCAAGGCGUCGCAAUCAAUACAAUAUACAAAGUUCCAACCAGGAACACAUUUCAAUCAAAAAUUGCAUAAGGAAGUAUCAAAAACAUAAUCUACUUGUUAUUGCAAGCAUUCACAUUCAUACAUUUUACAUCCCAAAUACUUAUUACAUUCAACUUUCAAAUACAAUCCGAUUUAACAUGAUUAUUACAACUUGAUUCUUUUCAUUUUCUGCAACCUUAAGCAAAGCCGAUUCAGGGUACCGCUAUCUCUGGUCUCGGUGGUAGGGUGCUAACUAUGAUGCUACGCCCUCGCCUCGCGCCGCCGCGCCGCUCACGUGUGAACCUGUAACACCCCAAAACCACGUGGGGUGAGAACCAACUCCAUGGUUCCCAGUGGGUACGGCCACCCAAGGGAAAAGCUCGACCAAUAGGUCCAAGGGAGGCAACUGCAAGUUAGUUCAAUAAACAGAUAGAUAUGUAUCUUGAUUAUGCAACGAAUAAAACCAUGCAUUGCCUCACGAAUGCAAUAUGAAGAUCAUGCAAUGAUGCGACUAUACAAUCAACUAGUAAUUCAAUCGAUUACUACUUUCAUCCAAUUGAUAUUUAAGGUUUUCUGUCAUUUACCAUUUUAAUCAUAAAGUUUCAUCUAUCUUUACAAAGCUAACUAUCCGACUCGGUCUUGAGUCAAUCGUCUGCGGAGUACCGCACAAAGCCAGGCCCGAGGCGAAGGACGUCUCACUUGCACCUCGGCCUUAAAUCCCCUCAACUAGGACAUCACUAUAGCUCAUAAGUUUAUUACCCAAUCACUUGGCUAACCCGAAGGUUUCGCCCUCAACAAACUCACCAAUCCAAAAUCCCAUUAACCAGGGAGAUACUCGCUACAACCCGGUGGGACCGUCCUCUCGGGAGAUAACCGCUACAACCCAGUGAUGUCGACUCCGGAGCACAUCGCCCGAGGGGGAGCUACCACAACCUCGAGCAAAGACUAAAGGUGAGUAUGAUCAAUGAUCAAAUCCAAAAUCUUCAGGAUGUCAAGUUCAAUCCAUUCCUUAACUUUAGGAAGACUAUGCUCAAAUGACCCUAACUCUAGGGUUGAAAAGUCAUAAUAUUUCAAUCAUUCUUUUCUUUACAUUCUUUACUAUCACUUGUGUCAUAUACACUACUAUAUUCUUGGACUCAUGCCAUACUUGUUUUCUAAGUGUUCAACAUGCUAUAAGUGUUUCCACUAUACUAAUCAUAUGCCACUCGAUCUAAUAUAUAUAGAUUGUCCACGUCACAUAUCAUAGUUCAUAUGUCAUUGUUUUUCAAUGUCGAGUUCCCUAAUUCACCUAGAGUUUAUCGACCCAAGUUCAACAUGCAUGUGUCAUUUAACAUAAUCCACAAUAUGUCAAUAUACAUUCAUCUAGUAUAUUCUAUAAUAAAUCAACAUGCACUCAUUCAUCAUAUUCCACAAUAUGUCUACAUAUAUAUGCCAACCAUUCAUAUGCCAUCCAACAUGUUCCAUAAUUUAUCAACAUGCAUAUUACCUCUAACAUAUUACUAUAACAUUAUUUUCAUGCAUUCAUGUAACAAUUAACUCAUGCAUUCAUCUAGCAUUUAACACAUUAUAUGUCAUUAUGCAUGUUAUCUCAACAGUAAGUAACAUCGACUAUAUGCAUCAAUUAGAAAACCAUUACUCUUAGACAUAUAGGCGACCUAGUCGCUUUGGUGAGUACAACCCACCUCAUUUCGCAUUCCGAUUGCUUGUCGACACUUGCAAUCGGCCUCCCGCGGCACCCGGCACCCGGUUUGGCCCGAUCUCUUGCGCGACCACCCGAACGGCCUCCAAUUCACAAUCCGAAAAUUAAAGGUCUUCGGUUAUGUGCCACGAUGCUUCAAAUCCGUUUUCAUGAGUAUACGAUGUCGUCUCGGCCCUCCAGGCGGAAACGAAGCCUAAACGUCUGUUUCUUUAAUAACUUCGCAACGGCUCAACGAAUCGCCGAACCGACUUCGCCAACGCGUUCGUUUACCUAGCAAUUAGGUUUACGGAGGGUCAAAUUAGAUCAAACCCUUAUAUUUUAAAAAACCCAUUCGGAGCCCUAAUAUGCAAUUAACUUCCAAUUAAUCCAAAUUAAAUGGAGAUAACAUGUUUAGAACACUCUAGAUACUACUAGAACAUCAUUCAUGAAGGAUUUAAACAAAAUCCCAAACUCUUACCAAAACGUGAACGCCGCGACGAAAACACGCCGCUCCAACGGGCGCACGAAAGCUCGAUCCGUCGCUCCCAACGCGUUCGCAAGCAUCUUCUCCGCCAACACCGCGAAUUUGAGCGAGAGAUAUAGAGAGAUGAGAGAGAAAUCUAGAGAGAGAAAGAAAGCUUUCUCUCUUCCCACCAUGUAUGCGGG